GACGAACGCUGGCGGCGUGCUUAACACAUGCAAGUCGAACGGAAAGGCCCUGCUUUUGUGGGGUGCUCGAGUGGCGAACGGGUGAGUAACACGUGAGUAAACUGCCCUUGACUUUGGGAUAACUUCAGGAAACUGGGGCUAAUACCGGAUAGGAGCUCCUGCUGCAUGGUGGGGGUUGGAAAGUUUCGGCGGUUGGGGAUGGACUCGCGGCUUAUCAGCUUGUUGGUGGGGUAGUGGCUUACCAAGGCUUUGACGGGUAGCCGGCCUGAGAGGGUGACCGGCCACAUUGGGACUGAGAUACGGCCCAGACGCCUACGGGAGGCAGCAGGGGGGAAUAUUGCGGAAUGGGCGGAAGCCUGAGGCAGAAACGCCGCGUGCGGGAUGACGGCCUUCGGGUGGUAAACCGCUUUCGCCUGUGACGAAGCGUGAGUGACGGUAAUGGGUAAAGAAGCAACGGCUAACUACGUG
rnacentral:rRNA from 1 species